GGAAGGAUCAUUACUGAGCUAAUGUUCCGUCCCGAGCCUUUGGCGCUGCCUCUGGACCGACCGCGCGCAACAAAUGUGGUGGGUCUUGCCAAAGCGUUCGCCCAGUGGGUGGGAAACCCUCGCUGGGAGUGACCGGUGGGAAACCGCGAUCCCGCUGUUCGCAUACGAUCCCUUCUCUGGUUGGAAGCCACGAUCUGACUAGAGACGCAUUCUUACGCCUGACAAGGGGAGUUAUUCCUGGUCAGGUUCAGGUACCUAUGCUGGAGAGGCGGAUGCCACUAGACACUCGCUCCUGCCGCAACUGUUUCUGGCGAGGAGAAGGUUUAAUGAGCGGCGGAUCUUGCCGACACCUGAGACCCUUUACGAUUUCAAUUUUUUUCAAAGGCUCGUGAGGGCCGAAAAACUACUAUUCUAAGCGGUGGAUCACUAGGCUCGUGGGUCGAUGAAGAACGCAGCCAGCUGCGAGACCUAAUGUGAAUUGCAGACACAUUGAUCAUCGACAUUUUGAACGCAUAUUGCGGCGUUGGGUAUCAUUCCCAACGCCACGUCUGUCUGAGGGUCGAUUUAUCGACAGCAAUUGUUUGGCCCGAGACGCGAUGUGGAACCUUUCGCCCGCUAGGUUCCGUCUCGAGCUGGGCAGAAAUGGUGAGCUGCUGAACCCGCCCGGAGUCCUCCGUGGGCGCUGUGCGCCUCUACAGCGGUAAAACUCGAUACAGCCUGCGCAAGACUCGGUUCAGUACCUCGCUUGAGUACAGAUGGCCAUGGUCUCGUCUAUGGCAUCCUUCUACGCAUUGGAGACGGCGGUCGUCCUCUGUCCUGAAUCUUACAGAGUGCCCUGGCGAAUGCUGAAUCCAUUCACGACCUCAGAUCAGGCGUGAUUACCCGCUGAAUUUAAGCAUAUAACUAGGCGGAGGAAAAGAAACUAACAAGGAUUCCCCCAGUAAUGGCGAGUGAACGGGGAAGAGCCCAGCACCGAAUCCCUUAGCGCAUGCUGAUGGGACCUGUGGUGUAUAGGAGAGCACGUCUGGUGCUGCAGCCAUUCCUAAUUCCUCUUGACCGGGGAUCCCGCAGAAGGUGCAAGGCCUGUGCGGAUGGUGGCGGCGCCAGUAUGAGCCUCCCUGGAGUCGGGUUGCUUGAAAGUGCAGCCCAAAGCGGGUGGUAAACCCCAUCUAAGGCUAAAUAUGACCACGAGACCGAUAGCAAACAAGUACCGCGAGGGAAAGUUGCAAAGAAAAAAAAAAAAAAAAAAAAAAAAAAAAAAACUUUGAAGAGAGAGUUCAAGAGGACGUGAAACCGCUUGGAAGCAACAGGUGGACCCGGCGUUAGUCCACUGGAUUCAGCCUACUCUUACUCAGCGCGUCGGCGUUCGAUUUAUCGACGGCCUCUCCCGGCGUUGCCUGGGUUUGAUGGGUGCAUUUCCAGCGGAUGCGCACCAAGGGCGGCUGGCGAGCAGCGUGAAGCGGUCAGGAGAGGGCUGGUGCUUCGGCACCGGUGUCCGACUCCCGUGGAAUGCGUGUUUCGUCGGCCGUGACUCUUUGGCGCCCGCCCUUGACUUGGCUUCCGUGGAAGCUUGGGGAACCGACCGGUCCGGUGUUCCUGUCUCAGGACCCGGCAAAACCCUCCCUAGCCCACUGCAGAUCCCGAGCCGGCGCCUCACUUUGGUGUUCCAGUCGGAAACCCACCUGACCCGUCUUGAAACACGGACCAAGGAGUCUAACAUGUGCGCGAGUUAUUGGGUUGCAAAACCUAAAGGCGUAAUGAACGUGAAGACUGGUUCGGCCAGUUGAUGUGGGAUCCCGGGCUUCGGCCUGGGCGCACCAUAGUCCCAUCUCAUCUGCCAUCGCCAGAGAGGUGGAGAUAGAGCGUACACGUUGGGACCCGAAAGAUGGUGAACUAUGCCUGAGCAGGACGAAGCCAGAGGAAACUCUGGUGGAGGUCCGAAACGGUUCUGACGUGCAAAUCGAUCGUCAGACUUGGGUAUAGGGGCGAAAGACUAAUCGAACCAUCUAGUAGCUGGUUCCCUC
rnacentral:misc_RNA from 1 species